GUGCUUAACACAUGCAAGUCGAGUGCGCGUGCCGUAGCAAUACGGUAUGGCGCACGGCGCACGGGUGCGUAACACGUGGGCAAUCUGCCCUCCGGUGGGGAAUAACCCCGCGAAAGCGGGGCUAAUUCCGCAUAACAUUCUCUGGACUUCGGUUCGGAGAUUCAAAGCAGCAAUGCGCCGGAGGAGGAGCCCGCGCCCGAUUAGCUAGUUGGUGAGGUAACGGCUCACCAAGGCAAUGAUCGGUAGCUGGUCUGAGAGGAUGGCCAGCCACACUGGAACUGAGACACGGUCCAG
rnacentral:rRNA from 1 species